rnacentral:rRNA from 1 species
UACGGAGGGUGCAAGCGUUAUCCGGAUUCACUGGGUUUAAAGGGUGCGUAGGUGGGAUGGUAAGUCAGUGGUGAAAUCUCGAAGCUUAACUUGGAAACUGCCGUUGAUACUAUCAUUCUUGAAUCUCGUGGAGGUAAGCGGAAUAUGUCAUGUAGCGGUGAAAUGCUUAGAUAUGACAUAGAACACCGAUAGCGAAGGCAGCUUGCUACACGAGUAUUGACACUGAGGCACGAAAGCGUGGGGAUCAAACAGG